AACGAACGCUGGCGGCGCGCCUAAUACAUGCAAGUCGAGCGAGAAGACGUAGCAAUACGUUUGUAAAGCGGCGAACGGGUGAGGAAUACAUGGGGUAACCUACCCUCGAGUGGGGAAGUAACUAGCCGAAAGGUUAGCUAAUACCGCGUACGCUCCUUGGACUUCGGUUCAGGGAGGAAAGCGAUACCGUGGGUAUCGCGCUCUUGGAUGGGCUCAUGUCCUAUCAGCUUGUUGGUGAGGAACGGCUCACCAAGGCUUCGACGGGUAGCUGGUCUGAGAGGACGAUCAGCCACACUGGCACUGCGACACGGGCCAGACUCCUACGGGAGGCAGCAGUAAGGAAUAUUGCGCAAUGGGCGAAAGCCUGACGCAGCGACGCCGCGUGGGGGAGU
rnacentral:rRNA from 1 species